GGCCAGGUGCAGUGGCUCACACCUGUAAUCCCAGCACUUUGGGAGGCCGAGAUGGGUGGAUCAUGAAGUCAGGAGUUCGAGACCGGCCUGGCCCAGAUGGUGAAACCCCGUCUCUACUAAAAAUACAAAAAUUAGCUGGGCGUGGUGGCGCAUGCCUGUUAGUCCCAGCUACUUGGGGAGGCUGAGGCAGGAGAAUUGCUUGAACCUGGGAGGCGGAGGUUGCAAUGAGCUGAGAUCGUGCCAUUGCACUCCAGCCUGGGCAACAAGAGCGAAACUCCGUCUAAAAAAAAAAAUUUUUGUUGUAAUAUAUAUAUUAAUUUAAUAUAAAGUUUGUACAAAAUUUUAAGAGUCACCACACCCAGCCCCAACACUCUUUUUAGUGGUGCCUUGGGGUAUUUACCUCCACGUUUCUAAGUAAUAUGCUGGUUUUUAUUUAUCAUUUUUAGACAUUAUUGAUUCAUAUCUACUAUGAAAGAUGAGAAUAAGCACUUUAACACUCCCCCUCACCUUCACCUUUUCUCCUUUUCUUCCCAAUAUGGCAAUAUCCAAAUUUUUGGCUAAAUCAAUAUUUAGGUUUUAUUUAUGCUAUUGUAACAAUGAGCCAUGCAGUGAAUUAUAAUUACAUUUCCUUCUACAACCUUUUGUUUUCCUAGGGUUAAUAAUUGCCACUUUUUUUUCUUUUUCUUUUGAGAUGGAGUCUCGCUGUGUCACCAGGCCGGAGUGCAGUUAUGCUCUCUCAGCUCAUUGCAACCUCUGCCUCCUGGGCUCAAGCAUUUCUCCUACCUCAGUCUCCAGAGUAGCUGGGAUUACAGGCGCAUGCCACCACGCCGAGCUAAUUUUUGUAUUUUUAGUAGAGACAGGGUUUCACCAUGUUGUCCGGGCUGGUCUUGAACUCCUGACCGCAAGUGAUCUGCCCACCUUAGCCUCCCAAAGUGCUGGGAUUACAGGCAUGAGCCAUUGCGCCUGGCCUUCCCAUUAGUUUUCUAUGCCACCAGCACUAAUUGUUCCCAAACCAUCUAAAUUAUAAAAAACAAAUAAGCACACCGUGUACCCCAAGCUGGAGUGCAGUGAUGUGAUCCUAGCUCAC
rnacentral:lncRNA from 1 species